GAGUUUGAUCCUGGCUCAGAUUGAACGCUGGCGGAAUGCUUUACACAUGCAAGUCGAGCGGCAGCGCGGGGGCAACCCUGGCGGCGAGCGGCGAACGGGUGAGUAACACAUCGGAACGUACCCUAUCGUGGGGGAUAACGAAUCGAAAGAUUCGCUAAUACCGCAUACGACCUGAGGGUGAAAGCGGGGGAUCGCAAGACCUCGCGCGAUUGGAGCGGCCGAUGUCGGAUUAGCUAGUUGGUGAGGUAAAGGCUCACCAAGGCGACGAUCCGUAGCUGGUCUGAGAGGACAACCAGCCACACUGGGACUGAGACACGGCCCAGACUCCUACGGGAGGCAGCAGUGGGGAAUUUUGGACAAUGGGGGCAACCCUGAUCCAGCCAUUCCGCGUGAGUGAAGAAGGCCUUCGGGUUGUAAAGCUCUUUCGGCAGGAACGAAACGGUGCAGGUUAAUACCCUGUAUCAAUGACGGUACCUGAAGAAGAAGCACCGGCUAACUGCGUGCCAGCCGCCGCGGUAA
rnacentral:rRNA from 1 species